CGAAAGCCUGACGGAGCAACGCCGCGUGAGGGAGGAAGGCCUUAGGGUUGUAAACCUCUUUUCUCUGGGAAGAAGAUCUGACGGUACCAGAGGAAUAAGCCUCGGCUAACUCCGUGCCAGCAGCCGCGGUAAUACGGAGGAGGCAAGCGUUAUCCGGAAUGAUUGGGCGUAAAGCGUUCGUAGGUGGCAAUUCAAGUCUGCUGUCAAAGACAGUAGCUCAACUACUGCAAGGCAGUGGAAACUGAAUAGCUAGAGUGCGGUAGGGGCAGAGGGAAUUCCCGGUGUAGCGGUGAAAUGCGUAGAGAUCGGGAAGAACACCGGUGGCGAAAGCGCUCUGCUGGGCCGCAACUGACACUGAGGGACGAAAGCUAGGGGAGCG
rnacentral:rRNA from 1 species